AAAGAAACUGAGGCUCAAAGGAGUUAAGGAGAGUAUGCAAAGUCUCAAGGCCAGAAAGUGUUAGGACUUGGAUGUGCAGUUGAAAAUUUAGCACAAAGCUCCUUUCGUAAGAAUACGAUACAGAAACCAAAUGUUUUCUUCUGUACCUAUUGAACCAAAAGAACUAUCUGAAAAUGUCAGAUGAAAAACAUGAUAAUUCAGGUGAUUUUAAAGACAGGUAAGGAAGUCAAAGUCCAGGAGAAUUUAAAUUAUGUGGAUUAUCAACUUGCCUUGAUUUUCUUUCUCUUCGGGGGCUUCUAUUCUCUAUUUAUAAGAAUAGGAAAGCUGGAAGAAUCCAUACGAAGUUUAAAACAAAAUACACAUUCCUGUUAAAACCUGGGGUGGAAUCAAGUGUCUUAAAUCAUUGUUAUUCUUCCCACAGAACUAUUACAGAAUGGGUCCUGAGUGACUGCAUGGUGAAUAGCAUAUGGUUUCUCCCAGUGGAUAAUCAUUGGGCAUCCAAUCCUUGCACCCUCAGUCUGGGUUCUUUCUCUUCAUAAAAUGUCCAAGACAUGCUCCAGGUUGGCAGUUUGAGCCUGCCCAGAUGCUAGACAGCGAUUUUCGUGCUGACCUCCUUCUGUUGGCAUGUUUAUUGCAUUAAUAGUAUUUGUGUUUUUUAGAGUUCAUGAGCCAUUGACACAAUUACAAUUAUACUUUAAAAUUUUCAGAUAUCUCCAGUCAAGUGGACAAUAGCUUCCACAUACCAGAUAAAGCUCUGUCCCACAGCAGUUUCAUGUAAGAUGAAAGAGGCAGAGUGAGUAUGGUCAGGAACAAUUCCAGUGCAUUCAAAUGCCAUCAAGAUACAGUAUGCACAUAUAUUUUAAACUAUAUGCAGUCAUUAUUAUUGCUAACGUUAUAUAUUGUCUUGCCUUUUCUUUUCUCACCCAGUAUGAACAUGAAAUGCUUAACAUCUGUCAGGUUGUCUGGAAAAGGAAGGUUCAAAUCACUCAUUUUCAUAAGGGUGGACCUAAUCUACUGCAGAAUCAAUGUUAGAAGAUACUAGUACAAAAAUCAACACAUAAGCAACAAGUGUGAGCAAUUCCUGGUAAACAGCCUAUAAUGCUGAAUUUCUGCAUAGGACAAAAUUUAUAUUCAAGAUGACAAAGCAAUAAAAGAAGAAAUCUUUAUGGAUCUCAGCCUUAGAUGGAUCAUGAGGGAGGGAGGAAGGGCAAAUACUCUAGACAAGACAGAAAGUAAUGGAAAAGCAUUUCUAGCUCAACAAUGUUUUGAGGGAGUUGAGCUCAGGAAACAGAUUUCUGAUGGACUAGCAGUUGAGUCAGCCAAACAAUCAAGAAGAGGUAAUCAGGAGAGGCCAUUUUGUCCUUCAUUCUGUUGGAGGCAAAACCGUGUUGACGUAUAAAUGUGCCUCCUGGUUUCCAAUUGUUGUUCUCACUCAGCAAUGAGGCGUGAAGCCUGAGAAACCACAGAUAUUUGGAUCUAAGAAGGUAUUUUAUUUCCCCCUCUCCAGGGCUGAAGAGUGGAAAAUACACAAGGGCACUUUAUCUUAGUCUUACAAGGUCUCAUAGACCUAUAAUCCUCUUGCUCUGAGCUCCAAGUUCAUCAACUUGAUCUGUACAUAAUUCUAUUAUCAAAAGAGGUUCCCUGGUAUAUACAUCCCAGGCCAGGAAGAAGAUGAGUGGAUUUCUUCCCUCCUCAUAGACCAUACACCUUACCCAUCUAGCUCUUCGGUUGCCAGAAACAGACCAUCUUAAAGCAGCAACAAUCUCUUUGUCUAGUUAUUUAGCCUUCAUGCCUUGUUUAAGUUUCUCACUGAAAAGAAGAAAAAUGGUCCUCACCCCAUCUAACACACAUUCACACACGCGCGCACACACACACACACACACACACACACACUCACACACACUUUUUCUAAAAUCUCCAUAUCAUCUUAAUUCCUUCAGGACUAAGUCAAUCCCAAUCUCUUCCAGGGGGCCAAGGGGCAAGGGAGUGAGAUAGAGCAAUGAAUUCAGGGUUUCCCAGCAUGGUUUUUACUUUCCUGAAUCCUUAGAGACCUCCCUCCCAACUUUUUCCCAGCUGUAGUUGGAAGCUGUAACAGAUCCAGAGACCAUUUUAGAACCUCAUUUGUAUUGUCCUGACACUUAGGAAUCCAGUUUCUGUUACAGGGAUGUCAUCAAAGUUGGUGGGCUCAAAACAUGACCUACUUUUUAAAACCCAUCUGUUAGGAGCCUAUAGAUUUUCUUGGUUUGUUUGUUUCUGGCUGUCUCCAGAAAGAGCAACAGCAAUGUUCUUACUUUCCAAGCCCACCCCCCAAAUAACAAUCAACUGAAUGUGUACCACACGGAGCUAAAUACCUUCCAAAUAUGCAGUAGGCAAAAGACAAACAAACAAACAAAAAACAGUGAUUUCCCUUACUCUGGUAGGUGAAGAGUAAGGGCAGGAGGUAGUGGUCAGUUUAAUUUAUGCACAUCUAGGCUAUUUCCCAUUAAAAACUCACUCCAGACCAGACAGCAGUAUUAGAAAGCAGAACACAAGUUUUACCACUUAGCCUGCCAAGCUUUUGCCACUGUUGGGGUCAUGAGGUUAUGGUGCCCUCUAACAAUGAGGUUUGCAAUACCAUGUGGCCAAAGGAGAGGGAUUUGGGGUCUGUAGGCUAAAGUUAAUGUACUCCUUCACAUAAGCCACUAUUGCCCUCUGAUAGUAGCUCUUAAAUUGCUCUCUCAAUUGAUUUUACCGUAGCUCAAUGGCUAAAUGAGUGCAUGUGUGAACACACACAAAAUGAAACCUCUAUGUUUCUCAAAGAUAACCGUUCCUGGAUUGGAAUAAAGCUAUAAAUAGGGAAGGUGAAAGGAAUGAGGGAGGGAGGGAGGGAGACAAAGAGGAAGAGACACAGGGGAAGAGGGAGGGGGGUAGAAGAAGGGGAAGAAGGAAAGCAGGGAUUAAAAACAGGACAUUCAUACAUAAUGGCUAUUUAGCUAAAUCCUGCAUCUCUACCUAAAAUCAGAUACCAGCUUCUAUGAAUAUUCAAUUUCAUGUCAAGCAGACCCCAGCCCAGUUUUAGUUACUGACUCAGUAGUUCACUGUAAUAUGGUUCAGGAUACCAUUUUACAGUCUUUUGAUUAAAGCCCAGCCUCCUCACGAUCCUGUCUUUAAUUUGCAAUUCUGUAGAGAAUCUUCCUUCUCUACAACUGACCCCAUACUCAACUCUACUCUUGCCACUCUUACAAUUAAAACCUGCCAGUGGCUGGCUCUGCCUGGACCACUGGAAAAAGUUCAGAGUUCAUGGCCUGACAUACAAGGUCCUCCGCAUCUGGCUCAAAUCUUCAAUUUCAAACUUAUCUUUACUAUGGCUCAAUGUUUGUGCUCACAAAAUGGCUCUUCCACCUCUCGGAUUUUAUCUGUAUUUUAAGUAAGAAGAAGAAAAGUAGAAGGGAACAAGAAGUGAAAAAAGUUUUCCUGUACCAGGAAAAUAAAAACUUUUUAAGAAAUCCCUAGACUACAUCAAUUUAUACCUUAUCGGCCUGAAGUGUUCACAAUGUCACCAACAGCUGCAAAGGAGUUCAGGAAGGCAAAUAAUUCUCAAAAGACAACUGAAGUUCUGAUAGCAAGGGAGAAAGGAAGGAUGGUUAUUGGGUAGGCAACCUGCAGAGCCCAAAGCCAAUAGUGUGAACAGGUUACAAUGUAUUUUGGUAACAAAAAUUAGACAAAUACAUAAGUGGUGCAGGGCCAAGCUCUCCAUAGCAGCUUAUGAAGUUACAUAGGCUUUUGUUAUAACAAGUCAACUCUAGACAGAUGGGAUAUAAAAUUGUUAUAUCUAAGUAUAAAUAUUACACCUAGAUAUUACAUCCAGAUAUAAAUAUUUUUAUAUUUACUACAUCUAUAUGUAAAUUUUUUUAUAAUCUUUUUGUUCUCCUUUCUGAGUUCUGAGACCAAAUUAUGAAUUGUUAAGAAAUAGAAAGUGAUGUAUCAAAAGGGUUAAGUCACCAGAACACUGACUCCUCAACUAUUCUUUCUAAUUAAAAGAAACUUAAGGGCGCCUGGGUGGCUCAGUCGGUUAAGCGGCCGACUUCGGCUCAGGUCAUGAUCUUGCGAUCCGUGAGUUCGAGCCCCACGUCGGGCUCUGUGUUGACAGCUCAGAGCCUGAAGAGUGUUUCAGAUUCUGUGUCUCCCUCUCUCUGACCCUCCCCCGUUCAUGCUCUGUCUCUCUCUGUCCCAAAAAUAAAUAAACGUUGAAAAAAAAAUUAAAAAAAAAAAAAAACGUUAAAAAAAAAAGGAAACUUAGUCCAAGGGUAAAACUGAAUAUCAAAAUUAUCUAGCAUUUUAGCAAGCNGGCUCUGGGCUGAUGGCUCAGAGCCUGGAGCCUGUUUCCGAUUCUGUGUCUCCCUCUCUCUCUGCCCCUCCCCCGUUCAUGCUCUGUCUCUCUCUGUCCCAAAAAUAAAUAAACAUUGAAAAAAAAUUAAAAAAAAAAAAAAAGGGGCGCCUGGGUGGCGCAGUCGGUUAAGCGUCCGACUUCAGCCAGGUCAAGAUCUCGCGGUCCGUGGGUUCGAGCCCCGCGUCAGGCUCUGGGCUGAUGGCUCAGAGCCUGGAGCCUGUUUCCGAUUCUGUGUCUCCCUCUCUCUCUGCCCCUCCCCCGUUCAUGCUCUGUCUCUCUCUGUCCCAAAAAUAAAUAAACGUUGAAAAAAAAAUUAAAAAAAAAAAAAAACGUUAAAAAAAAAAGGAAACUUAGUCCAAGGGUAAAACUGAAUAUCAAAAUUAUCUAGCAUUUUAGCAAGCAGCUUGAGCCCUGGCACAUUAAAGUGACUGAUAUUUUUGUGUUGAGUCAACCAAAAAUGACACAAACAUUUACAUAGCAUCGGUCCAAAGGGAAAGAAUCAGAACUGGUAUAAAUCAGUUUCUACUUGGGAAUUUACAUUAAAGUGGAAAAUAAACACAUGGGUGGUAUUUCUAUUUUAUUUAAAGUUUAUUUACUUAUUUUGAAGGAGAGAGAGAGCAGGGAAGGGGUAAAGAGAGAAGGAGAUAGAGAAUUCCAAACAGGCUCCAUGCUGUCACUGCAGAGCCCAACGUGGGACUUGAUCCCAUGAACCGUGAGAUCAUGACCUGAGCUGAAAUCAAGGAUCAGAUGCUUAACUGACUGAGGCAGGGUAGUAUUUUAAAAAAAUUAUCCUUAAUCGCUUUCAGAUAGAUCAACUCUAGGGAUGAGGAUGGGUAGGAACAAUUGUGUCUGCAAUCCAACUGGCAAGUCGAGUGAGUCACAUUCUCUAAGAACUCUGGUAAAUGACGCUGAACUGUUGCCAGGUGAAGGAAAUGGAGUUUUUUCAUAACUACAUUGAACUGUGUGGCAGAGUUCCUUAAAGGAACUAAGGAGAAAUCUCUCCUGGGCUUGGCACCAUCAAAGAAGUUUCCCUUCUUUCUUUCACUCUAGUUGAGUACCGAUUUGGGCAGGCAUCACUCUUUGGUCAUUUUACUUUUUUUUUUUUUUACUUUUUUUUUUUUCCAACGUUUUUAUUUAUUUUUGGGACAGAGAGAGACAGAGCAUGAACGGGGGAGGGGCAGAGAGAGAGGGAGACACAGAAUCGGAAACAGGCUCCAGGCUCUGAGCCAUCAGCCCAGAGCCUGACGCGGGGCUCGAACCCACGGACCGCGAGAUCGUGACCUGGCUGAAGUCGGACGCCCAACCGACUGCGCCACCCAGGCGCCCCUGGUCAUUUUACUUUUGACUUCUGCACUAUCUUCUCUUUAAAACAUAAGCUCCCAGAGUUCUGAGGUUUUUGUUUUAAUUUUAGCAUGCUUCUGAGCCAAUCCCAAAUAUAAGCGUUCCAUGCCCAAACCUGAAGAAAUAGUAGAGUUCAGGGACAGUUCAGGGGCUCAGCCUUCCAAGUUGAGACUGACUUGCCAUGUGGGCUUCAAGGCAAUUCAUCUCUCUCGUUCCAUUCAUCUCGUUCCAUUCCAUCUCUGAAGUAGGAAUAAUAGUAGCCGUCCUCACUUACAGCACCAUUUCCUUUGUCAUUAAAUAUUUAUUAAGCAUCCACAUGCAUGACACAAAGUUGUAUAGGCUAAACCGGAUAGACGCUCUCUCUGGCUUUAGAGAGCUCUCAUGAUGCAAAAGAUAGGCAGAAUCUCAGCACAUAAGUCCAGGGCAGGAGUGUGAAUAUUUGCGUGAGUGAGUGUGUGUGUGUGUGUGUGUGUGUGUGCGCGCGCGCGCGUGCACUGAAGAACAAAAGCUGGAACCACAUCUUGUUUGUCAUCUUUAUAACCUCAAGCGUUUGCCUUGAUUUUAGGUUAUCUUUAACCAUUAAUAUUUGGAAAUAUAUUUGAAUUUCAAAACCUUUGGGUUUCACACUACAGCAUAACCAGAUUAUAUCUCCUUUUCUAGUUGCACAAAGGGCAGUCGCUACCACAUGCCCAGAAGGUAUUCAUGUAACAGGUACACAAGAUAACCCACACAGAAGAACUAGGAGCAAACAUUCAUAGCACCAAUGAGAUUCUCAUGCAUUGGUGUUACAUGCAUUCUCACAGCACUAGGGCGUUAUUCUUUAUGGUAGAGGUCAACACAAGACUGAAUUAUAAUGGUUAUUUCUGCUAAGAAAACACUUUCUCCGGGAGAAGAAAGCAUUGAGAGAAGUGGUAACCGAGAGGGUGCAGAAUGAAAGUUACUGUGUAUAAUAUGCAUCCAGCUAUGAAGCUCCAGCCCUUCCCAUUAACCUUGUGUCAAUCUGUAUUAUUAAGAGACAGUCAAUUAGGCGAGGUACAUUAUAAUUUUUUUUUAAGCAAGCAAUAGUUGGACGUUUUCAUCUGGGCCCUAGCUGAGUUUCCCUUGUUUGCUUAAUCUGGGCUUUCGGUCUUCCUGAAAGAUGAAAGGCUGCCAUUUUAGCCUCAAUGCCUCAUAAUAUGUGCGUUAAACUCAGCACUGCCUCAUUAUUUAUUAAUGUCAAGUUAUUAUACUUCAGUGGAGGAUGGGGGCCAGAGCCGCAAUGGUGACAGAUGUUCCAACAGAUCAGCUUAUAUAAUGAGAAGUUGGGCCAAAUCUGUCGAAAGAGGUGUUUUUUUAAAAAACACACUGACUUCAAAGAAAUGAGUUGUGGCAUCUGUAACAUCUAUGGAGCAGUGCCAGUGAAGGCGAGUGGGUCUGCAGCCGGGGGGCACAAGUCAUGCGAUUAUUGGAGCUUGCAGUGCAGUGACUGGAACAACAUCUGGGCUGCAGCAAGCUGGCCAGGACAUUUAAAAAGAGCUCCUGCGGUGCCUCAAACUUUGAUUUUACAGAGCUGUGGGGAAAGAAACAGGCUGCAUUCAAAAGCUCAUGUGUUUUGGCUCACACAUUUUGUCCUCGGUCACUGUGGAGGGCCCCACUCAGCUGGGGGAUCUCAGGGACAUUGUUGGACAGUCAUUCUCUAUCUACUCCACUAGCUCU
rnacentral:lncRNA from 1 species